rnacentral:rRNA from 1 species
CAGUAGCCACGGUAAUACGAAGGGGGCUAGCGUUGCUCGGAAUGACUGGGCGUAAAGGGCGCGUAGGCGGUUUGUCGAGUUAGAUGUGGAAUUCCCGGGCUUAACCUGGGGACUGCAUUUGAUACUGGCAGGCUUGAGUGUGGAAGAGGGUCGUGGAAUUCCCAGUGUAGAGGAGAAAUUCGUAGAUAUUCGCAAGAACACCAGUGGCGAAGGCGGCUUACUGGCUCGAAACUGACGCUGAGGCGCGAAAGCGUGGGGAGCAAACAGGAUUAGAUACCCCGGUAGUCCCUGUCUAUUAUAC